rnacentral:sRNA from 1 species
GCCCAGCAAUGGGCAACCGGCGAACGGGUGCGUAACACGUGAGCAAUCUGCCGAUGUCAGGGGGAUAGCCGGCCCAACGGCCGGGUAAUACCGCAUACGCUUGUUCCGGGGAGUCCCGGGAUGAGGAAACCUUCGGGGGACAUCGAGGAGCUCGCGGCCUAUCAGCUAGUUGGCGAGGUCAUGGCUCACCAAGGCGACGACGGGUAGCUGGUCUGAGAGAAAGGCCAGCCACAUUGGGACUGAGAGACGGCCCAGACUCUUCUUCCGAGGCAGCGGAGGACUCCUACGGACUCCGUAGUGGGGUUUCUAGAAAUCUCCGCAAAUA